rnacentral:rRNA from 1 species
ACGGGUGAGUAACGCGUGGUCAACCUUCCGUUGAAUGGGGGAUAACUAGCCGAAAGGUUAGCUAAUACCGCAUACGAUCUUUUGAAGGCAUCUUUAAAAGAUGAAAGGAGCAAUCCGUUCAACGACGGGACCGCGUCCCAUUAGCUAGAUGGUGGGGUAAUGGCCUACCAUGGCAACGAUGGGUAGCUGGUUUGAGAGAGCGACCAGCCACACUGGGACUGAGAUACGGCCCAG